GAUGAAGAACGCAGCGAAAUGCGAUACGUAGUGUGAAUUGCAGAAUUCAGUGAAUCAUCGAAUCUUUGAACGCACAUUGCACCUCUCGGUAUUCCGGGAGGUAUGCCUGUUCGAGCGUCAUUUGUACCCUCAAGCUCUGCGUGGUGUUGGGUGUUUGUUCCGCCUCUGUGUGUGAACUCGCCUCAAAACAAUUGGCAGCCGGCGUACUUGUUUCGGAGCGCAGCACAUUUUGCGAUCCAGAUCAACGUACAGCGGCAUCCAAGAAGCCUUAUUUAACGCUCUUGACCUCGGAUCAGGUAGGGAUACCCGCUGAACUUAAGCAUAUCAAUAAGCGGAGGA
rnacentral:misc_RNA from 1 species